rnacentral:rRNA from 1 species
GCGCAACCUCGUCGUAUGUUAUAUGUGUCAUACGAGACUGCCGUAAAAGCCGGAGGAAGGUGAGGAUGAUGUCAAGUCAGCAUGACCUUUAUAUCCAGGGCUACACACACGCUACAAUGGUCUGUACAAUGGGUAGCCAAGCCGCGAGGCGGAGCCAAUCCUGAAAGCAGGCCUCAGUUCAGAUUGCAGUCUGCAACUCGACUGCAUGAAGCCGGAGUUGCUAGUAACCGCAGGUCAGCAAUACUGCGGUGAAUACGUUCCCGGGCCUU